rnacentral:rRNA from 1 species
GGCUCGGGAUGAACGCUUAGCGGGAGGCCUUAACACAUGCAAGCCGAGCGGUAGAGAUUCUUCGGAAUCUUGAGAGCGGCGUACGGGUGCGGAACACGUGUGCAACCUACCUUUAUCUGGAGGAUAGCCUUUCGAAAGGAAGAUUAAUACUCCAUAAUAUAUUGAUUGGCAUCAAUUGAUAUUGAAAGCUCCGGCGGAUAGAGAUGGGCACGCGCAAGAUUAGUUAGUUGGUGAGGUAACGGCUCACCAAGACGAUGAUCUUUAGGGGGCCUGAGAGGGUGAUCCCCCACACUGGUACUGAGACACGGACCAGACUCCUACGGGAGGCAGCAGUGAGGAAUAUUGGUCAAUGGGUGCAAGCCUGAACCAGCCAUCCCGCGUGAAGGACGACUGCCCUAUGGGUUGUAAACUUCUUUUGUAUAGGGAUAAACCUACCCUCGUGAGGGUAGCUGAAGGUACUAUACGAAUAAGCACCGGCUAACUCCGUG